UAGGACUACCCGCUGAA
rnacentral:rRNA from 1 species